rnacentral:rRNA from 1 species
GACGAACGCUGGCGGCGUGCCUAAUACAUGCAAGUCGAACGCAGUGGGGACGGGUGAGUAACACGUGGGUAACCUCCAAUCAGAGGGGAUAACACUUGGAAACAGGUGCUAAACCGCUACUGAUGGAUGGACCCGGGGGGCAUUAGCUAGUGGGUGGGGUAACGGCCCACCAAGGCCACGAAGCAUAGCCGUCCUGAUGGGUGGAUCUGCCACACUGGAACUGCGACACGGCCCAGACUCCUACGGGAGGCAGCAGUGGGGAAUCUUCGGCAAUGGACGAAAUUCUGACCGAGCUACGCCGCGUGAGUGAAGAAGGUUUUCGGAUCGUAAAACUCUUUUGUUAGCGAAGCGUUAUCUAACCAGAAAGCCCCGGCUAACUACGUGCCAGCAGCCGCGGUAAUUC